UGAGGAAUAUUGGUCAAUGGACGAGAGUCUGAACCAGCCAAGUAGCGUGCAGGAUGACGGCCCUAUGGGUUGUAAACUGCUUUUGUUUGGGAAUAAUCGACAUUACGUGUAAUGUUUUGCAUGUACCAUUCGAAUAAGGACCGGCUAAUUCCGUGCCAGCAGCCGCGGUAAUACGGAAGGUCCAGGCGUUAUCCGGAUUUAUUGGGCGUAAAGAGUGCGUAGGCGGCAAAUUAAGUCAGAUGUGAAAACUAAGGGCUCAACCCAUAGAUUGCAUCUGAAACUGAUAUGCUUGAGUCAAGGAGAGGAAAGUGGAAUUCCUAGUGUAGCGGUGGAAUGCGUAGAUAUUAGGAGGAAUACCGGUGGCGAAGGCGACUUUCUGGACUUGAACUGACGCUGAGGCACGAAAGCGUGGGGAGCAAACAGG
rnacentral:rRNA from 1 species